GCAUUUGGCAGACUUAUUUUCCAGGUUUAUGCUUCCUUAUCAUGUUGACCCAAGUAGUUCCCUGCUCUUCUUGGUUUGCUUAGUGCUCAGUACUGAAUGUAGUCUUGAUUGAUUUUGUGGUUCUUACAAUAAUUUGGUAGUAUUUACAGGGGUGUUUGGUAAAUAGUUGUUAGUUGAUUGAG